rnacentral:rRNA from 1 species
GACGAACGCUGGCGGCGUGCUUAACACAUGCAAGUCGAACGGAAAGGCCCUGCUUUUGUGGGGUGCUCGAGUGGCGAACGGGUGAGUAACACGUGAGUAACCUGCACCUGACUUUGGGAUAACUUCAGGAAACUUGGGCUCAUACCGGAUAGGAGCUCCCGCUGCAUGGUGGGGGUUGGAAAGUUUCGGCGGUUGGUGAUGGACUGGCGGCUUAUCAGAUUGAUGGUGGGGUAGUGGCUUACCAAGGCCUGGCAGGGUAGCCUGGCUGAGAGGGUGACCGGACCCACUGCAAUUGAAAUACGGCCCGGACUCCAACGGUACGCAGGAGAGGAGAAUAUAGUAUUAGGGGCUGAGGCCUGGUGCAGCAAAGCCACGUGGGGUAUGACGUCCAUGGGGUUGUGAUGCACUGUUGCCUGUGACGAAGCGAGAGUGACAGUACCGGGUAAAGAAGCACCGGCUAACUACGUG